UUGAGGGUUUCAAUGAGAUGGA
rnacentral:sRNA from 1 species